UUUCCCUGCAGUAGGAGGGUGCUGUUAAAAGUAUUUCAGAGACCCUGGAGCAGUGUUUAAAUUUGGAUCACAGAGCAAAAAGGGAAUCAUCGCAGAGCAAAACGUGCACAGUCCUCUCCGAAUCCUUCAGCUGAGGACGAAGAAAGGAAGAGACGUGCCCCGCCCUACAGCAGUAGUGAGACGGACCCCGGGUCGCAUUACUGGUAACAGAAGUGUAUUUGGCAAGCGCACAGAUCCAGAGGCUCUUCUGCGCGGGGACGAAGGGGUCAGAGUGGCUGCCCUCCUGGAGUCUGCUGUUCCCGCGUUCAUCUUUUCCAGGUGCGAGAAAGGGGAGGAGACCGUGCUUGUUGCUGAGCUGAGGCCUGUGGCCUGUGCUCUCGGAGUUCUUCUCUGCAGCGAUGAAAUCCUGACCUCCCCGUUAAUUACCUGUGCUGACCGAGCCUGACACUUGCCUUGGUGGCUUUUUUAAAAGGAAUGUUUAUAGAG
rnacentral:lncRNA from 1 species